AGAGUUUGAUCAUGGCUCAGAACGAACGCUGGCGGCAUGGAUUAGGCAUGCAAGUCGAACGAAGUAGCAAUACUUAGUGGCGCAAGGGUGAGGAACGCGUGAGUGACCUACCCGCAAGUUUGGAACAGCUCCUGGAAACGGGAAUUAAUACCGGAUGUGAUCAAUGGACUGCAUGGUUUAUUGAUUAAAGCAGUAAUGCGCUUGCGGAUGGGCUCGCGUCCCAUUAGCUAGUUGGUGAGGUAACGGCCCACCAAGGCCAUGAUGGGUAGCUGGUCUGAGAGGACGACCAGCCACACUGGGACUGAGAACUGCCCAGACUCCUACGGGAGGCUGCAGUCGAGAAUUUUGGGCAAUGGACGAAAGUCUGAACCCCCAGCAAUGCCGCGUGCGGGAUGAAGGUCUUCGGAUUGUAAGCCGCUGUUUGGAGGGACGAAAAUUGACGGUACUUCCAGAGAAAGCCACGGCUAACUACGUGCCAGCCGCGGC
rnacentral:rRNA from 1 species